rnacentral:rRNA from 1 species
CCUUUAAAGAAAGCGUAAUAGCUCACUGGUCAAGUCGGCCUGCGCGGAAGAUGUACCGGGGCUAAGCUGUGUACCGAAGCUGCGGAUGCAAGCUUGCUUGCAUGGUAGGGGAGCGUUCUGUAAGCCUUUGAAGGUGUGCCGUGAGGCAUGCUGGAGGUAUCAGAAGUGCGAAUGCUGACGUGAGUAACGAUAAAGGGAGUGAAAAACUCCCUCGCCGAAAGUCCAAGGUUUCCUGCGCAAUGUUAAUCAGCGCAGGGUUAGUCGGCCCCUAAGGCGAGGCCGAAAGGCGUAGUCGAUGGGAAACAGGUUAAUAUUCCUGUACCGCAUAUAACUGCGAUGGGGUGACGGAGAAGGUUAGACCAUCCGGGCGUUGGUUGUCCCGGUUUAAGCGUGUAGGGAGUGUUCUUAGGAAAAUCCGGGAGCACAAUUCUGAGACGUGAUGACGAGAUUUCUUUUGAAAUUGAAGUGGUUGAUACCAUGCUUCCAGGAAAAACCUCUAAGCUUCAGGUUAUAUGUGUCCGUACCCUAAACCGACACAGGUGGACAGGGCGAGUAGCCCAAGGCGCUUGAGACAACUCGGGUGAAGGAACUCGGCAAAAUGACACCGUAACUUCGGGAGAAGGUGUGCCCCUGACACGUGAAGGCCUUGCGGCUGGAGCGGAAAGGGGUUGCAACAAAGAGGUGGCUGCGACUGUUUAUUAAAAACAUAGCACUCUGCAAACUCGUAAGAGGACGUAUAGGGUGUGACGCCUGCCCGGUGCCGGAAGGUUAAUUGAUCGGGUUAGCAUUUAUGCGAAGCUCGUGAUCGAAGCCCCGGUGAACGGCGGCCGUAACUAUAACGGUCCUAAGGUAGCGAAAUUCCUUGUCGGGUAAGUUCCGACCUGCACGAAUGGCGUAACGACGGCUAAGCUGUCUCCACCAGAGACUCAGUGAAAUUGAAUUUGCGGUGAAGAUGCCGUAUACGCGCGGCUAGACGGAAAGACCCCGUGCACCUUUACUAUAGGUUCACACUGGACUUUGAAUUUAUUUGUGUAGGAUAGGUGGGAGACUUUGAAGCAGGAGCGCCAGCUUUUGUGGAGUCAUCCUUGAAAUACCACCCUAUUAAAUUUGAAGUUCUAACUUAAACCCGUAAUCCGGGUUGAGGACAGUGUGUGCUGGGUAGUUUGACUGGGGCGGUCUCCUCCCAAAGAGUAACGGAGGAGUGCGAAGGUAACCUCAGCACGGUCGGACAUCGUGCAAUGAGUGCAAUGGCAUAAGGUUGCUUAACUGCGAGACUGACACGUCGAGCAGGUACGAAAGUAGGUCAUAGUGAUCCGGUGGUUCUGUAUGGAAGGGCCAUCGCUCAACGGAUAAAAGGUACGCCGGGGAUAACAGGCUAAUACCCCCCAAGAGUUCACAUCGACGGGGGUGUUUGGCACCUCGAUGUCGGCUCAUCACAUCCUGGGGCUGAAGCAGGUCCCAAGGGUAUGGCUGUUCGCCAUUUAAAGUGGUACGCGAGCUGGGUUUAGAACGUCGUGAGACAGUUCGGUCCCUAUCUGCCGUGGGCGUUGGAGAAUUGAGGGAAGCUGCUCCUAGUACGAGAGGACCGGAGUGGACGAACCCCUGGUGUUCGGGUUGUCACGCCAGUGGCAUUGCCCGGUAGCUACGUUCGGACAGGAUAAGCGCUGAAAGCAUCUAAGCGCGAAGCCCCUCCCAAGACUAGUUCUCCCUGAGACUUUACGUCUCCUGAAGGGCCGUCCAAGACUAGGACGUUGAUAGGCUGGGUGUGUAAGCGCUGUGAGGCGUUGAGCUAACC